GAUGAACGCUGGCGGCGUGCCUAAUACAUGCAAGUCGAGCGAACGGACGAGAAGCUUGCUUCUCUGAUGUUAGCGGCGGACGGGUGAGUAACACGUGGAUAACCUACCUAUAAGACUGGGAUAACUUCGGGAAACCGUAGCUAAUACCGGAUAAUAUUUUGAACCGCAUGGUUCAAAAGUGAAAGACGGUCUUGCUGUCACUUAUAGAUGGAUCCGCGCUGCAUUAGCUAGUUGGUAAGGUAACGGCUUACCAAGGCAACGAUGCAUAGCCGACCUGAGAGGGGGAUCGGCCACACUGGAACGGAGCCAGGGACCAGACUCCUACGGGAGGCAGCAGUAGGGAAUCUUCCGCAAUGGGCGAAAACCUGACGGAGCAACGCCGCGUGAGUGAUGAAGGUCUUCGGAGCGUAAAGCUCUGUUAUUAGGGAAAAACAUAUGUGUAAGUAACUGUGCACAGCGUGACGGUACCGAAUCAGAAAGCCACGGCUAACUACGUG
rnacentral:rRNA from 1 species